rnacentral:rRNA from 1 species
CCUACGGGAGGCAGCAGUGAGGAAUAUUGGUCAAUGGACGAGAGUCUGAACCAGCCAAGUAGCGUGAAGGAGGACUGCCCUAAGGGUUGUAAACUUCUUUUAUAUGGGAAUAAAAUGUUCCACGUGUGGGAUUUUGUAUGUACCAUAUGAAUAAGGAUCGGCUAACUCCGUGCCAGCAGCCGCGGUAAUACGGAGGAUCCGAGCGUUAUCCGGAUUUAUUGGGUUUAAAGGGAGCGUAGGUGGAUUGUUAAGUCAGUUGUGAAAGUUUGCGGCUCAACCGUAAAAUUGCAGUUGAAACUGGCAGUCUUGAGUACAGUAGAGGUGUGCGGAAUUCGUGGUGUAGCGGUGAAAUGCUUAGAUAUCACGAAGAACUCCGAUUGCGAAGGCAGUUCACUGUACUGCAACUGACACUGAGGCUCGAAAGUGUGGGUAUCAAACAGGAUUAGAUACCCUUGUAGUC